UGGCGGCAGGNCUAACACAUGCAAGUCGAGCGAACCCUUCGGGGUUAGCGGCGGACGGGUUAGUAACGCGUGGGAACGUGCCCAAAGGUACGGAAUAGCCUCGGGAAACUGAGAGUAAUACCGUAUGUGCCCCUUGGGGGAAAGAUUUAUCGCCUUUGGAUCGGCCCGCGUUGGAUUAGGUAGUUGGUGGGGUAAUGGCCUACCAAGCCGACGAUCCAUAGCUGGUUUGAGAGGAUGAUCAGCAACACUGGGACUGAGACACGGCCCAGACUCCUACGGGAGGCAGUAGUGGGGAAUCUUAGACAAUGGGGGAAACCCUGAUCUAGCCAUGCCGCGUGGACGAUGAAGGNCUUAGGGUUGUAAAGUCC
rnacentral:rRNA from 1 species